UCAGGACGAACGCUGGCGGCGUGCUUAACACAUGCAAGUCGAACGAGAAUCUGUGGAAAGAGGAUUCGUCCAAUUGAAGCAGAGGACAGUGGCGGACGGGUGAGUAACGCGUGAGGAACCUGCCUUUCAGAGGGGGACAACAGUUGGAAACGACUGCUAAUACCGCAUAACAUAUAGAUGUCGCAUGGCAUUUAUAUCAAAGAUUUAUCGCUGAAAGAUGGCCUCGCGUCUGAUUAGCUAGUUGGUGAGGUAACGGCCCACCAAGGCGACGAUCAGUAGCCGGACUGAGAGGUUGAACGGCCACAUUGGGACUGAGAUACGGCCCAGACUCCUACGGGAGGCAGCAGUGGGGAAUAUUGGGCAAUGGGCGCAAGCCUGACCCAGCAACGCCGCGUGAAGGAAGAAGGCUUUCGGGUUGUAAACUUCUUUUGUCAGGGACGAGUAGAAGACGGUACCUGACGAAUAAGCCACGGCUAACUACGUG
rnacentral:rRNA from 1 species